CUACCGGCGCUGGAUUUAGCAGGAGGCCCUUUAAAAACCCCAGAGCUGCAGCGCUGUGGGCAACCUUCCUGGGAAAUGUAGUCUCCGUGUGCAGUCUCCCUGCUACCCGGGCAGCUUCUCCGCGGGCCAAAAAAAGGGGCCUCUGCUGCCUCUGGGGUUAGUGUGGCAGAGAAAUGAAACCCUGAGUGGGAAAUCCUGUACAUCGAAGUAGAGUGGGAAUCAUGUUUAGGGGGAGGGGGUUUAGUGAGACUGUAACGUCUACAAGUUAUACGCAGGAGCCCUGAAAGGCUUGGCGGUUCUACAAGGGUGUGGACUGUCCGGCCACUGUCCUUCCCCUCCACCUUCCGCCAACAUCUAGGCAAAUAUUUGAAGGAGGCAAGGAAAGGAGCUGUUCCUAUUACAAGAGGAGUCUUCAGAAGAAACAGCUGGCACCAAGGACGUGCGGCAGCGAUGCGCAGGGUCGCUGAAACAAGGACAUGGCUUGUCUGCAAUGGGAUAGUGAGUCCUACACGGAAGGCCCAAGGAGAGGAGGAGGCCAGUGGGGGCCGGCUCAGGCGGGCACCUGGAGCACACCCGGCCCACAGCUGUCGCUGCCUACCUUGUGCAUCACCUGGAGCUCAUCACGGAGGCACUGCACCUCCUUUUUCAGGGGUGGGGUGCAUGAAUGCCACAGGACACUCGUGGAGGCCAAAGGGUCUUUCCUUCCUUCUAUUAUGUGGGUCCCUGGAAUGGAACUCAGGUCUUCAGGUUUGGAGGCAAGUACCUUUACCCACUGAGCAUCGGCGGGCUUUGUGGACUCAUUUGUAACCUUUUGAUUUAGAUAAAUUUUGCAGUGGAACCCCGAGUUGAACAUGCUAGGGGAAAGUUCUACCACUGAGCUACAGCCCCAAACCAUCGUUUGAUUUUUUUUUUAUUUUUUUAAAGACAAGGUCUUGGUCUAAGACCUUAGCCUCUAGCUAAGGCUGGCCUUGAACUUACCAUCUGACCUUGAAUUUACCAUCUGGCCUCAGCUUCCCAAAUGCUGAGAUUAUGCACCACCACUUGUGUUACUUUAAAAAAAAAAUGUAAAUGUAAAUGUGGCUCUUGUAUAAUUUUUUUUAUUAGUUUUUGAUUUGUUUUGUAGACAGGGUUUCUCUGUGUAUCUCUGUAUGUCCUGGAACUCACUCUGUAGACCAGGCUGACCUUGAACUUACAGAGAUCCGCCUGCUUCUGCCUCCCGAGUGCUGGAAUUAAAGGUAUGUGCUACCAUUGCCAGGCAAUAUUUGGUUUUCUGAAUCAGGGUCUCACUAUGUAGCUCUGGCUGCCCUGAAAUUCACUACGUAGACCAGGUUGUCUUUGAACUCAUGGAGAUCUGCCUGCCUCUGCCUCCGGAGUGCUGAGAUUAAAGGUGUACACCAUCAUGCCAGGCUAUGUUUCUUAUAUAAUUAAAAAAAUGUUUGGGAGCUGAAGAGACAGCUGAAUGGGUAAGUUAUUUUCUGUACAUAGAACCUGAGUUCAGAUCCUUAGCAUCCACGCACCCACAUAAAAACACACCAGUAACCUUAGUGCUGGGUGUGAAACAGGCAGAUUCCCCAAUUCACAGCAAGCGCUAGGUUCAGUGAGAUACCCUGUCUGAAAAACAUAAGGUAUAGUAGGCCAUAGUGGUACAUACUUUUGAUUCCAGCACUUGGGAGGCAGAGGCAGGUGGACCUCUGUGAAUCUGAGAUUAGUCUGUUUACAUUCCAAGUUGCAGGCCAGCCAAGGGUACACAGUGAAAUUUGAUCUAAAAAACAAAAGAGGAAGGAUGUCUAGAGAGAUGGAUCAGUGGUUAACACUUCCUGCUCUUCUAGGGGACCUAGGUCAGGUGGCUCACCCCUCUGGAACUUCAGCUCCAGGGGUUCUGAAACUCUUUUCUGACCUUGGUGAGUGUCCAUACACACACACACACACACACACACACACACACACACACAGAUUCUGAUCUAAAAAAGGUAAAGAGACCGGGCAGGUAUGGUGGCGCAUGCCUUUAAUCCUAGCACUCAGGAGGCAAGGCAGGUGGAUCGCUAUGAAUUCCAGGAUAGCCAGGGCUACACAGAGACCCUGUCUCAAAAACAAAAACAAAAACAAAAACCAACCAACCAAACAACAACAACAACAAAAGACCAAAGCAACAACAAUAGCAGCAAUUAACUUCUGGUCUCCACAUUAGCAUGCCCACACACAUGUAUACCACAUGCACAAAGACAAAGGAAAAAAACCACAUUUAAGAUCACUAAAAAAGGUUGGGGCAGGGAAGAAACCUAAGUCACAGAAGGCCACAUGAAGGAAUAUAGUUCCGCCCUCACCAAGACCCCACCUACUACCUCUGCAGCUAUUCCUGGGACCAUAGUAGGCUUAUAGUGGGGAGAGGCUGAAUCCAGAUGUUCUGAGUGUGUUUGGGGGGUACCUGUCCUGCUGGAUCUUUGCUCCUGUCCUAACUGUUCCCUUACAGAGCAGGCCACCUAGGGAGUAGAGACAGCCAACCACACUCCAUCAUGCUUCCCCCGUGAGCCUCAGCCUCCAUCACAGAGACCUCACAAGGGCCUCCUGUGAGGCAAAGGGGCUACUGGACACAGUAUUCCAAAUCUGUGGAGAGCUCAGCAACAACGGGGUGAGGGCCAGCCAGGUGCCAACUGUGACCUACCUUCCUUAGUGCCCAAGAUGUCUCGACACUGGCCACCUCUCUGCCACGACAUCAAGGUAGAGGAAGAAGUACUGUUGACCCCUUUGCAUUAGUUAGAGGGUCCUUCUACCUACUUGAGUGUUGCCACAGGCCCCACUCCCUACACAGCUGUUCUGCAGUGGUGAGCCCCCCAGCCCUGCAAGAGGGGUACCCACUCAGCCUGAGGGAACAGGCUGGAGGAUUGCUUCCCGGCAGUCACCUCUCCAGGAUCAGCUGAGUUUCCAACCACCUCCUCCGGUGGCUGAGAGGGACAGGUGACCUGGUCCCUCUUCUCUCUAGCACCUGCCAUCCCAGCCAUUACUUUUUCCUGAGCGUUUCCAUCUCACCUCUUACCACCCCAGUCCUACCUGCCCCACGCCUGCCCCAACCUACUAAGAUCGAGUGCUGGCAGCUUUGGAAGUGCCCCAUGGGACAGAAGGGGACCAGAAAGCAAGGGCUCCAGGUUUGCCUAUAGUUCAAAGGUCACACCACACUUCUGGGCCUCAGUGUUCUCACUGGCAUGCUUAGGAGCCACAGCAGAGCUUUUAAAUUUUCAGUGGAGUAGAACAAGCUUUUUCUCAGACGAAAUCUAAAGCUGGUUCUAAUAGCAAACUGAACACACACAGCUGCUCUGAUCCCAGCAAGUGGACCCUCCCAGAGAGGAGUUCCCAGUUCCACUCAGUGACUCCAGGCUGUGGUACGGGCUCAGCCUGCAUGCCAGGCCCCACCCAGGGCAGGACCUGACAGCACUGGGCUGUUUCCUCUCUUAGCCCAGGUAGCCCAGGAUAGCCUCUCCAGUCCCCAAGUCUCCUCUGAUCGCCCCACCCAUAACGAAGCAGCAGCCAGCCCCUGCUAGUGUGGCGGUUCUGCCCCAGGACUCCAAGGGCUUUCUUGCCCUCCCAGACCCCAGUCACCAGGGCCCAAGGUCUCCCGUCAGACCUCUGCCAAUCUGUUCUCAGGCAGCCUUGUCUUAGCCUCCUAGGCUUGGACCUUGUCCUCUCCUCACCCACUGUACUCCAAGAUCACCUUGUAUGUUUCUGGAAAACUCAGCAUCUGCAGGAGACUCUCAGCUUGUCCUUGGGGCUUCUGCCAUAGGCACCAACCGCCUUCAGCCAUCUGCCAUAGCCAAUAUCCCCACCCGCUCACCACUAUAGCUCAGAUCAGUUGUGACCCUCAGGGUACUUUCCAAGAACCUCCUCACGCCAUGCCCCCAGGGAUCCCAGCAUUCCUUUCUCUUCUUGGCACUGGUAUGUAUGGUAUAGACUAUAGACAGCUGACUGCCAAAUUAUUUGGAAUUCUGACUCAGCUGUUAAGCAAAAGUACAUUCAAAAAAAUUAAAUAUGUAGAAUGAAUUCACUAAAGGAGGUUGUGAAGGUUGGUGUUGAUUAUCAACUAGCCAGAAUCUGGAGUCACCUAGGUAACAAGUCUCCAGACAACUGCGAGGGAUGAUUUAUGGUUAGCCUCUGGCCGUGCCUGUGCGGAAAGGUCUUGAUUGGUUUACCUGAGGUGGAGAGACCACCAGAAAGGAGAGCAGUACCAUCACAGGCGGGGGUCCUUGCCUGCACACUAUGUAACAGAGUGACUGAGCAUAAGCACUCAUCUCUAUCUCCUGGCUGGGACGUCAUAGCUGCCUCCUGUAACUACGACUUCCUGCUAUGAUGGACCCUGAGCCCAAACAAACCCUCUCUCUCUUAAGUGGCUUUUGUCAGGAUAUUUUAUCAUGGCCACAGAAAGUAACAAGACAAGUAGAUGUCAUGGCUGAUACUCGACAUGUGUCCACCCCCCUGCUGCGAUUCAUUUAUAUUGUGUGUGCACCCUGACCUUAAACCUGGACAGCAGAACCCCUGUGCAGCUGGUGCUGACCCAUCUCAAGCUCGGGGCCUUUGGACCACAGCUUUAACAUCAGCUGCAGAGGGAAGCUCACACCACGGAAAUGCUCAGCGUCACCAAUGGGGACUCAGUUUAUUGUUUGCUACACUGUCUGGAACCGAGCAAGUCAUGAGGAUAUGCUGGGAGCGCAGAUUCAGCCUUGCACGGUGUCAUGUCUAGAAUGACAUUUAUACAGAACAAAAACGGUGAACAACUCUGACUAGAAUAUACUCGGUCUCAACAGAAAGCUGUCAUUCAGUUCAGCAAAGGAUUUGCUUACAACAUUGAUCUUGAGAGGUUCUGACGUCUCUUCAUCUUACUCAUUAGCAUAAAAAUAUCAAUCAGCACACAUGAGACCCACCCGUGUAUGUUAAUCAGCUGUGGCCACAAGAAUAAGGAGAAAUCAUUAAAGCACUCUGAGAAACAUCCA